rnacentral:rRNA from 1 species
UACAGGGGGGGCAAGCGUUGUUCGGAAUUACUGGGCGUAAAGGGCUCGUAGGCGGCCAACUAAGUCCGACGUGAAAUCCCAAAGCUUAACUUUGGAACUGCGUCGGAUACUGGAUGGCUUGAAUUCGGGAGAGGGAUGCAGAAUUCCAGGUGUAGCGGUGAAAUGCGUAGAGAUCGGGAGGAACACCAGUGGCGAAGGCGGCCUUCUGGACCAAUACUGACGCUCAUGCCCGAAAGCGUGGGGAGCAAACAGG